rnacentral:lncRNA from 1 species
UAUGGGUAUCCACUCAGGAUCAGCUUGAAACAGUCUUUUUUGGUGUUGAUCCUUCUUCUCUAAGAACAAUCAGCCUACGAAUCUGAAUGGAGCCUGGAUCACGAUCAACUCUUUGAUCAUUUUCUUGAUCUUUUCUUCUUUUCUUCUCUUAUUUUCUUCUCUUGAUUAUAAAGCAAUCAAGAUCUAAAAACCAGCAAGU